rnacentral:rRNA from 1 species
UACGUAGGGUGCGAGCGUUGUCCGGAAUUAUUGGGCGUAAAGAGCUCGUAGGCGGCUUGUCGCGUCGGAUGUGAAAGCCCGGGGCUUAACUCCGGGUCUGCAUUCGAUACGGGCAGGCUAGAGUUCGGUAGGGGAGAUCGGAAUUCCUGGUGUAGCGGUGAAAUGCGCAGAUAUCAGGAGGAACACCGGUGGCGAAGGCGGAUCUCUGGGCUGAUACUGACGCUGAGGAGCGAAAGCGUGGGGAGCGAACAGG